rnacentral:rRNA from 1 species
UACGUAGGGGGCAAGCGUUGUCCGGAAUCAUUGGGCGUAAAGCGCGUGUAGGCGGUUUCGUAAGUCUGCUGUGAAAGUCGGAGGCUCAACCUUCGAAAGCCGGUGGAUACUGUGAGACUUGAGUACGGAAGAGGAGAGUGGAAUUCCUGGUGUAGCGGUGAAAUGCGCAGAUAUCGUCAAGAACACCGAUAGCGAAGGCAGCUUACUGGGCUGUAACUGACGCUGAGGCACGAAAGUGUGGGGAUCAAACAGG